rnacentral:snoRNA from 1 species
UCCCUCCAAAUCCCUUUCCCAUGAGAUCUGAACACCGAUCUUGUGGUCGAAAAAGGAGGAAGACUAAAACUCAGACUGGUCUUGGGGCUCUGUGCUGGUGCUGUCCUGCUCUGAGAGGGACCAGUUAGAAGACAAGC